CCUACGGGAGGCAGCAGUGAGGAAUAUUGGUCAAUGGGCGAGAGCCUGAACCAGCCAAGUCGCGUGAGGGAGUACUGCCCUAUGGGUUGUAAACCUCUUUUGUCGGGGAGCAAAAGCCGGCCGUGUCCGGCUGUUAGAGUACCCGCAGAAGCAGCCCCGGCUAACUACGUGCCAGCAGCCGCGGUAAUACGUAGGGGGCAAGCGUUAUCCGGAUUUACUGGGUGGAAAGGGGGCGCAGACGGCGAUGCAAGCCAGGAGUGAAAGCCCGGGGCCCAACCCCGGGACUGCUCUUGGAACUGCGUGGCUAGAGUGCAGGAGGGGCAGGCGGAAUUCCUGGUGUAGCGGUGAAAUGCGUAGAUAUCAGGAGGAACACCGGUGGCGAAGGCGGCCUGCUGGACUGCAACUGACGUUGAGGCCCGAAAGCGUGGGGAGCAAACAGGAUUAGAUACCCGAGUAGUC
rnacentral:rRNA from 1 species